rnacentral:tRNA from 2 species
GGGUGUAGCUCAGUUGGUUAGAGCGCCGGCCUGUCACGCCGGAGGUCGCGGGUUCAAGUCCCGUCACUC